rnacentral:rRNA from 1 species
GAUGAACGCUGGCGGCGUGCCUAAUACAUGCCAGUCGAGCGAACAGACAAGGAGCUUGCUCCUCUGACGUUAGCGGCGGACGGGUGAGUAACACGAGGAUAACCUACCUAUAAGACUGGGAUAACUUCGGGAAACCGGAGCUAAUACCGGAUAAUAUAUUGAACCGCAUGGUUCAAUAGUGAAAGACGGUUUUGCUGUCACUUAUAGAUGGAUCCGCGCCGCAUUAGCUAGUUGGUAAGGUAACGGCUUACCAAGGCAACGAUGCGUAGCCGACCUGAGAGGGUGAUCGGCCACACUGGAACUGAGACACGGUCCAGACUCCUACGGGAGGCAGCAGUAGGGAAUCUUCCGCAAUGGGCGAAAGCCUGACGGAGCAACGCCGCGUGAGUGAUGAAGGUCUUCGGAUCGUAAAACUCUGUUAUUAGGGAAGAACAAAUGUGUAAGUAACUAUGCACGUCUUGACGGUACCUAAUCAGAAAGCCACGGCUAACUACGUG